UUUUCGAUUUCUGGUCUCUCUCAUUGAAUCCAAGCGCCCCAACCACAUCCAUCUCUCUCUCUCUCUGUCUCUCUCUCUCCUGCGACUCCUCACCACCGCCGCCGCCAUCGCAAACUGCGCCGGCUGAUUCCGGCGACUCACGGCGGCGCGCAGCACACAUCCGUGCUCGCUUCGCUACACUCCGUCCUCUCCUCCGUCCAGAUUCGUCGCUCCGCUCCCAUCCCCUCCUCCGUGGCUAGGCUAGGGUUUCGGCCUCCCCAUCUCCGGCCACCGGAGCCCCUUCCUUCCCCUUCUCCAGCCGGCGGACGCCCCUCCCCUCCCAUCCCGUCAUCAGGAGAGGAGAGGAGAGGAGAGGGAGAUCCAGCAGGGCAGGCCAUGGCGCCGGCCAGAACCGCGCCGGGACUGAACUGGACCAAGAUCGUGUCGUCAGGAAACCAACCCCAUGGAGCUGCUCUCUGUUGCUCCUCCAGGUUGGCAGGCAGGUGCACUGAUUAUCCAUCACUAGCAGCGCCAUGGACCAGCUAAAGAUCUGAUCAACACAGCUCGCUAUAUAUCUUGGAGCAAAAAGUUUUGGAUGCAGACAACCGUGCCGUGUUGGUUUCUUCAUAGUACACGUGCUGCCAGCCGUGUAGGUUCCACUCUCCCAGCCAUGUGAUGCCAGCGAUUUCGCUCGCCACGCUGUGAAUGCGGCGGUGGCGAUACCCGCCCUCGGCUACAACUUGCACUAGAUUUGGCCUCUGGAUGGAUGCUAUGGUUCCUGUAAUGUUGCUCUGUUGGUUCUUAUUCUUCAUUAGGUUCUCUCAAGCUGGAUAUUGGAGGACACUAAAGGCUGCGGUCAUGGGCCACAUUCUCUUGCGGAACUUUCUUAUUGGCUUCAUAGCAGCAAUCUCCAGGAUCUUUCUAUGGAAUUCAAGGGUUAUGUCUUCAAGAUCAUGAGUGGUUGCAAUAAGCUGGGCUUCCCUAUGAAGCAAGAAGUGCUAACUUCUGGUACGCCAUCUGCUUCACAGGGGGCAACGGUGGUGGCCAGGCCAUGUGGGUCCAUUUAUCUUGUUGUGGUCCAUGAAGGGCAACGGUGGCCAGGCCAGGCCAUGUGGGUCCUCAGGAAAGGAAGGAAUGGAUCUCCUGUGUAUCUAGUUGUUGAACAGGGCUGAUUUGUACAACUGAACAUGCCGUCGAUUCUGCUCACGAUGCUGUGACCGCGGCGGUGGCGAUGCCCGCCCUCGGCUACAACUUGCACAGGAUUUGGUCUCUGGAUGGAUGCUAUGCUUCCCAUGAUGUUGCUCUGUUGGGUGACUCAGUACACAUGUUCUCUCAAGCUGGAUAUUGGAGAACACUAAAGGCUGCGGUCAAUGGCCACUUUCUCUUGUUGAACUUUCUUAUUGGCUUCAUAGCACCAAUCUCCAGGAUCUUUCAAUGGAAUUCAAGGGUUAUGUAUUCAAGAUCAUGAGUGGUUGCGAUAAGCUGGGCUUCCCUAUGAAGCAAGAAGUGCUAACUUCUGGUCCGCCAUCUGCUUCACAGGGGUCAACGGCGGUGGCCAGACCAUGUGAGUCCAUUCCUGAUGUGUCCUCCCUCGCGUUUCUUGCACGGGCAGAAUUACCUUGGCGGGUAGAGCAUACGACGAAAAAGGUGCGGCGGCGCUAGAGUGCGGCCAGCUGAUCGAGGGAGCUUGGAACGAUGCUCGGUGGAAUGUCGUUAUGAGCGUGGAGAUGCUGCUCCGAAAUACAAAUUCUUCUUAAAGGGAAACUAAUAUAGAAGUUAUUGUAAGCCGAUACACAGUACUGGAAGUGGUAGUAUGAGGGAAAUCAAGCACAUUUCUGAUGGGGAAGAAAAAAGUGACUCUCCAUAAGGAAAGAAUGGAUCUCCUAUGUAUUUAGGUGAUGUUGGUUCGUUAAAUAUAUACCUUUACCUUUUUUGUAAUAUAAAGAGUUGCAUCUGAACCUGGUGAAACGACUUGAGAAUAUAGAAUAUAGGGUCGUGCAUGAAAUGAUGUUGAAUAUGUCAUCUUUUAUUUUAUUUUGAACACGAUGCUGAACUGGUUCUCAUUGCACUCAUGUAAAUUGUGUCAUCUUCCACAAUGUUGGCAUGUGAUCCAAAUAAAUUGCACACCCUAUAUUUUUUGGCAUUUUUUUGACAUAAGAUCCUUCGUUUCAAACAAAAGUACACUCAAUAUGUGUAUUCUGUGCCGAUAGUUAAUUCUUAUGCCGCGUUUCAUGCCAAAUUUCAUUGAAAACAAGCCCACCAAAGAGUCGUUGAGUUUGAACAAGUCGAUGGUAUACACAAAACAUAAUGACUUGAAGUACAAUGCAUAAUAGAGUGAUGCACCGACAUAGUGGGCUCUGAUAAGUAUGCACACGACAGGAUGACAAGGCACCGAAGAAUAGAAGUGGUGGUUGCCUUGCAAAGGGAAACACGGAAAACACGACUUUUGCCACGAGGCAUUAAAAACAUGGAGUUAGGCACCUCUAAUUAAUCUUCCUCGAUAUAUUUUACUGUUUCGUAGUAGUGCACGGGCAUCGACCUAGUAUAAGUGGCCGACCCCUUAGUGUGUUCGCAAUUUCUGGAGGUGUUCCGUGCCUCAAAAGCUUACAUGAUCAAUGUCUGUGUGGAGGGUCUACAUGUGCAUCCGUCUCCUAGGAUUUUGCCUCCUUUGUCUCGUGAUGAUCAAGCCAGCGAGGAUAGCAAGAAUGGAGAAGAUACUAGCCCACCAUUUACUAAGGAUGAGUUGGACGCUCUUGGAUCCUAGACUCCAGCCUCUGUAUCCAAACCGUGUGCCUUGGGAUGUGUGGCUCUGAUGGGGCUAAAGAGGGUUCCGUUGAUCAUGUGGAUUUUGUUGUGGAUGGGAUUGUUUUACUGGAUUCGUUGGCAAGCCCGCUGGUGUCUGCUAGUUGCUCUAAUCUUCCUACCCGCCCUUUGUCUCCCUCACUGUCUAUGAUUGUUGGUUCCCAUAAACAACACCUUUGCACCCUGAAGUUUCUGCCCCUAUCCCCAAGAAAAAAGACUUCGGUCAAGAAAUCCCCCCCUCGCAGUUGUCUUUCUGGGACCUCAAAGCAAUCUUCUGAUGGGCUGUUCCGCAUGCUUGAUGCUUAUCUAGGUGAGGUUGUUGGUGGUGACCACAGUGAGUAUAUUGCGACGUCUCCCACGACACGUUAUACAGCUAUGAAGACUCUUGUUUCUACUGCUCGCAAGAGUAGGCGCCCUUGCAUUGUUGGUGAAUCUGUUCUGGUGUGCAAUGAACGUCGUGCUGCAGACGACCUUGGCUUGUCAGUGAUCAUUGAGCAACUUGGCCAAGAACUCGCCCAACCUGAGGGUGGCCCACAUCAUAAUCAAAGAAGAUGGUGGUGGAUGAGACCGGUGCUGCUUUUGUGAUGAGCAAAACAAAAACUUGGUGGUCGCCGGCCGUGGCCUCCUACGCGUGCGCAGCCGUAGCCUUGGCUAGUGGCCUCGGCUACAACUUGCAAAGGGAGCUCCCCCCUUGCUCUGAGCACAUGGACAUCGAGCCAUGGCUAUUUUACACCAGGUUUAAUGUCCAUGUCUGGUUAUGGUUUGGACUGGUGGUACAGUCAUGGCAUAAUGACUCCAGGUUAUGCUUGGAUGGAUUUAAUCUUUCUAAAAUAUGAGAUUUUUUGUAAAGAGCUAGUCUUGUAGGGUUUCAAUUGUCUAAAGAUUGUGGUUUUGAGAAGAUUGUUACCUUUCUGGUUUUAUGGCUGAUGUGGUCAGUAGAGAUCCAUGCGUGUUGUAUUUCCUAGUGGUGAUAUGAUGAACUAUAGAUUUGGAAGUUUGCUUUGUACAACUGCACUAUAGAGUUGGAUGUUUUUCGUGGUUGCGUGAUGUCGAUGAUGAUUACUGUGAAGCUUUCUCAAUGUAAUCACUAAUGAUUGCAUAACCUACUGCUUUCCUUCUGAGGCAUAAUGUCCCUCUCAAUUCUUCUCUCUUGAAAUAGUGGUUUUGCGUGAUCCCUUGUGACAGAAAUUAUUCAGACUUCAAGAUGCAAAGGUAAAACAAUUUUUGAUGCUGCUGUUUAGGUUAGAUAGUCACACUUUUAUUUCUGUCAAUUGCAUGGCAUGGUAUCUAGACUAGGUGUCCUUGAUGUUCUCAAUAUAUUCAUGCCUUUUUAUACCUUGAAUGAUCCAUCAGCAUCCUGUAAAGACUAGUCUCACUGAUGGUAAUAUUUAUAAGUAUACAUGUUAUCAGAACACACAAAAUGAACCCUGUAUUGCUUUGUUCAUUUCAAUUUCGUGUAUUGUGCUAUUGUUUUACUCCGAGUUGGCCUGAUCCGGUUUUUUCCACAAAUGCAGGUGCCAUUGUUGUUGAUUCCAUUGUUCAUGGCCAUCUGAAAAGCUAAGGAACUGUUCAAACCUUGAAAUAAACUUGAACACCCUGCAGUUGUGUAAUUGAGGAGCCCCAUGACAUCAACAAGAAUGACGACGAUGAUGCGGAGGAGGAGGACCUCAACUACACACCACACAAAGUCCCUAUUGUUUGUCGGCAAUGGCUUCCUUGCCUGCAGCAGGUAGCAUUCGGUUACUGCUGCAAAUGCCAACGGAAGAAAAUAUACAUAUGAAAUGCUACACUUGCACUCAGGAGUGUGAGAAAUUUUGCCCAAUUUCAUUGCCAUGUUCAUCAUGUCAUUUACCCACAAAUUAUCAGUUAUUUUAUGCUAUAUGAAGUUGUUCCUCUCUUGAUUUUUCAUGGUAGACGGAAUUGUAUGAUUUCGGAUAGUACUUUAUCAAAUUCAAACCAUACAACAUCACCCACGUCCCUCUAUGCAGAGCAGUUUGCAACUGAACCCAUCUCUAGUACUGGAUCUCCAGUACUAGCUUCUUUCAUGUGCCCUUGAGUAUCCAGCUCAACUGAUUCAAGUUCUUGGACAAUUAAUUAAGCACUAUAACAAAUUAAUGAAUGCCCUCCUUGUUCUUCUAGCUAGUAUACAUUACUACUGGAUGGUGAUCAAUUUUAGCCAGCCAUUCUUCCAUGCCCCCUCUCUCCACCCACUCACUUGAUAAUCUCCCUGCACCAUCAAUCCAUCUCCUUUAGCAACUAGCUGUUGCAAAUGGCACCAGAUUUAAUUCUGAAUGUAUGCUUAGUUAUUCAGCAUGCUUGAAGUCCCAGCCUUUUGUGUCUGGUCAGUUAUUUUCGUAGCUCAUAAUAUGCUCAACUUCUCAGGAAAGUAAUUGACGUUUUAGCGUUAUGGUCACCGAGUUUCCUCUUGUUCAGUAGGCGAAAGGGAGGUUAUAUUGAAACGCUAUACUGGUGCCCUUGUUGAAAUCGAGUGCCCAUGUUGUGUGAUAUACAAUGUUGCUGUGUUGUGUCUCUUGUGUGGCCUAGUUUAAUAUUAUGUUUGUAUUUCUGUUUGCGGUUGUGUGCUAGAGUCUAAUUAGUUACGUGAAUAGUUAACUUUAAGAUGUUGAUGUGUCAUAGAAAAGAUGAUUUCUUGUGUUGUGUACUUUCGGAAAUUAACGCAAUGCUAAAUGUAUGUAGGCUUAAGAAAUUGAUCAAGGUAAGCCAUUAUAUCUCUUUGCUUGUUUUUUAAAUUGUCACUAUGUCGGAUAAUUAUUUGAUUGUGAAGUAAUAGUUCCUUGCUUUUGUCUAGUAUUAAGAAACAGUUUGUUGAAACAACCAUUAGUCUCUCCUAGCUACAGAAACUGCCUAUAUGCAUUUGCUUAGGCUUGGAGCCUAACUCAUGUCUCGGGCAUGAACUCUCCCUGCAUAAUUAUUUCUUAUCCUGCCUAUCAGUCGCUGCAAGGUUUUUUGGUAUAUGUGUGUAUAACUGAUGCAAAGCUAUCCAAUCAGAUCUUGGUCUUGUGUGUAAAACAAUCAAUCCUUCUGUUGUGUGUAAUCAAUGUGAAGCAAUGAAAUAAACUUGCUACAUGUUGCUUACGAGGCACCAUGUAGUUUGUUUGUUUGAUUUGAUUUGUUUGUUUGUUUGAUUUGGAGCAGACCUGGACCCCAUGCCCAAGCUCACGAGGUCACCGUUGAGUCCGACCUCCACCUCGAUCAUGACGACGACGACCCGCACAAGGUCGAUCCCUACUUUACCACAAAUAUGUUCUUUCUUUUGUGAAGUAACAGUUCCUUGCUUUGUGUAAUGUUAAGAAACUGUUUGUUGAGACAACAAUUAUUCUCUCCCGGCUACAGGAACUGUUUAUAUGCAUUUGCUUAGGCUUGGAGCAUAACUCAUAAAUCAGUUACCUGUUUUGCGUAUCCUAUGAAUUUGAGCCUUAUCUGUUUGCUAUUUCUCCAUCUCAAAUCUCCAUCAGUAAGCUAAAAAAAGACUAGCUAGCUAAUCCUCUGUAAUUAGCUUGCUUCCCCCAUCUCACGCUGAAACCCUAGCUCUUCCCUUGGUGACGGAGAGGCUCACAUCAUGGAUCCUCUCCUCGAAGACAUCAACGGCCAAGGAAGGAGAAGCUGCUGCAUAGGUGCCAUCCUGUAGCCAUGGACGGCACUCAUAGCAUGUGCGAAGUCUGCUCCUUCCCCGCAUGGCUAGUUAGCACUUCUCCCGCCCAUGGAAGCAGCAGGCACCCUCCGCCGAUGACCUGGACCCCAUGCCCAAGCUGACGAGGAGGACAUCGUCGAGUCUGACGUCCACCUCGACCAUGAUGACGCCCCGCACAAGUUCAACUACUUGGUCGGUUGCCACUACUCUCUGCCUGAUGACCGGUUAUGGGCGAUCGGCAGAACAAGUGAGUUGACACUAGGUUACUUCCCUGUAAAAAACGAUCCCGCCGGAGGGCGGAGGCUGUCCUGGAAGGAGGCCACACAUGAGUUAUGAGGACCAUAUGCCUAGGUGGAAGCAGUCUUGAGAACCUUGGCCAAAACAAGGAAGUUUGAGAAGGCUAGUGGUAUGAGGAACAACCAUGGCUUCAAGGUUUAACUCAUGUAUGUGUACCAUCCAUGAUAUGCACUUACAUCCGGAUCUCUGUUGGUCUAUGCUUGUAGUUCCGACUUGAGCGGUAUGCCGUUUCCCAUCACACACAUGGAGCGGUCUUGUUCUUUUUGUUAUAUGUUGUGUAUGCUCGCCUCAUUCCUGAAAUUCCAACUACAUAUAUGUGGUCUGUGUACCAUCCAUGAUAUGCACUUACAUCCGGAUCU